rnacentral:rRNA from 1 species
AGUGAACGCUGGCGGUAGGCCUAACACAUGCAAGUCGUACGGCAGCACAGUAAGAGCUUGCUCUUACGGGUGGCGAGUGGCGGACGGGUGAGGAAUACAUCGGAAUCUACUUUUUCGUGGGGGAUAACGUAGGGAAACUUACUCUAAUACCGCAUACGACCUACGGGUGAAAGCAGGGGAUCUUCGGACCUUGCGCGAUUGAAUGAGCCGAUGUCGGAUUAGCUAGUUGGCGGGGUAAAGGCCCACCAAGGCGACGAUCCGUAGCUGGUCUGAGAGGAUGAUCAGCCACACUGGAACUGAGACACGGUCCAGACUCCUACGGGAGGCAGCAGUGGGGAAUAUUGGACAAUGGGCGCAAGCCUGAUCCAGCCAUACCGCGUGGGUGAAGAAGGCCUUCGGGUUGUAAAGCCCUUUUGUUGGGAAAGAAAAGCAGCAGGUUAAUACCCCGCUGUUCUGACGGUACCCAAAGAAUAAGCACCGGCUAACUUCGU